GACGAACGCUGGCGGCGUGCUUAACACAUGCGAGUCGAACGGAAAGGCCCUGCUUUUGUGGGGUGCUCGAGUGGCGAACGGGUGAGUAACACGUGAGUAACCUGCCCUUGACUUUGGGAUAACUUCAGGAAACUGGGGCUAAUACCGGAUAGGAGCUCCUGCUGCAUGGUGGGGGUUGGAAAGUUUCGGCGGUUGGGGAUGGACUCGCGGCUUAUCAGCUUGUUGGUGGGGUAGUGGCUUACCAAGGCUUUGACGGGUAGCCGGCCUGAGAGUGUGACCGGCCACAUUGGGACUGAGAUACGGCCCAGACUCCUACGGGAGGCAGCAGUGGGGAAUAUUGCACAAUGGGCGGAAGCCUGAUGCAGCAACGCCGCGUGCGGGAUGACGGCCUUCGGGUUGUAAACCGCUUUCGCCUGUGACGAAGCGUGAGUGACGGUAAUGGGUAAAGAAGCACCGGCUAACUACGUG
rnacentral:rRNA from 1 species